CGCACGUGAGAACGUCGUGCUCGCGUGAACUGGUAACCAUAGCAACACCAGGCCGACGAUUUAAGUGUUUCAAAUUGAGGAAUUGUUUUUUUCGUUCCUUAGCAGUUACACAGAACAGCUACAGAGAAAAGACUUCAGGUCAAAGAGACACCUAUCGCCAUGAACGCAGUAAAGCUAGUGAAGUUAGAGAAAUCCUGCUGUCCUGGUCACUGCAGGUCCCGAGCAGUUUUCAGAUUACUCAUUAAUAUGCACGGGACAGAUGGAAACAACAGAGCUUCAUCGCCAGCUGCCUCCAUCAUCCAUCCAGUUGGUGAGGAACAUCAUCAGAUGAAAUGUCACACAGACACUCAAGAACGCAGCUCUCCAGAAACCGAGAAGCAGAUGGACGACACCAUCUUACAGACUCAACGCAUGGAAAUAGACAAUGAGCAAUCCGAGAGACCUUUCCAUCAGAAGGAACAAAGCCUUUUGAGAAGAGCCAUCAAAAUACUACUCAUCUUCUUCAUUAUUUUGGGAAUCUUUGUUAUUUUCAUGAUUGCCAGCCAAUAUGUUUAUGUGGAGUGGGAAAGAAUCGUAAGGGCACUGAGUUUUAACAAAUGCAUGAAUAGCUUUGUAAAACUGCGCUUUAGUGGAAUGUACAACCCACCCAUAUGAACAUAUGAACCCACAUCACCUUCAGCACUCAAUAAAGCUUAUCAAAAAGCGUCCUUUUGUGAUUUGUUUUU